rnacentral:lncRNA from 1 species
AUUUUGACUUCCCGACUCAACUGCACUGUUUGGAUGGAGCCAAGUCCCUGUUUCUUUUCUAUACCCCAAGGCCCAUUGGAGCCCCACCAUCAAUAUUUGUUGAAUGAAUGAGUGAAUAGGUUGUUGUAUUUAACUGCCCAAAAGCACAGCUUGUGACCCCAAGCUUCCAACAGCUAGCACUACACUAGGUACUUGUGAACAGUGUUAAAAAUAUUAUUCCCCAUGUCGCACCUUGAUAGACGUUGUAUAUUUCAAAUCUAACACAUCCAGAAUGCAGACCACAAUAACGACUUAUUGGUAAACGAUUUCCAAAUGAUGUACAUUAUCUUAUUUGAACCUCAAGGCAGUUGUGAGCUUCCCUGUCCCAUCUCCCAGCGGCUACCUGGUCAGACUCCAGCCCUUGGUGCACAUCACUACCAUAGUCAUUCCCACAUCCCGCUGAACCUGAAAAGUCACUUCUUUUUCUGUGUUUCCUUCCCCAACUAGACUGGAUCUCCCGACGGCAUAUCCUAAUUCCUUGAUAUCCCAGGGCCUAGCACACGAUGGAUACUCAGCACAUCUAAGCGGAGUUACUGCAUCUUCCUUUGCAAGGUCUUACGCAGUCCGCCAUCGUCCUCUCUGUCUUGGAGCCCACCACCUCCACCACCAUGCAGGCCCUCCCCAUCCCUCACUACAGCACUGCCUCAGCCAUCAACCCUGCUUCCCGCCUUUCAUCACUGCCACCGUCUGGCUCAAGAGUCACAGGAAGCUCCUCGUUGUAAAGAAUGGGUUCUGCGCUCCUUAGAUUAGCAUUCCGAGAUGUCCAGUAUUUAGUAAAAGAGAAGAUAAGAAGAAAUUUCAUCUUCCUUGAAAUCCAGGAUAUGGUGCUUUUCUGAUGUUCAGACAGUUCUUUCAUGGAAUGAAGACAAUUUUUCUAUUUUAUAAUGGAAACUCACCAACUUUUAGAAGAGCUCAAAUAGUAUUUGAACUGGCGGGUGUGAUGCUUAAGGACUUUCUUAAAGCAGACCAGGAAAAUUCCGGUGACAUCUGGGCUUCACAUAUGUUUCCUGGGCGCCUGGAACCCAUGAAUACAAAGAAAAUAUUUACAAAGACAAAAUAUUUACGAGAAGGCAUGUGCCCAUUUCUUUUCUGA